GCAGUGCCUAAACACCACAUUGGACAACAACAAAAAAGAUAUUAUUCUGGAUUCCUAUUCUUGGCUGUCACUUUUGAGUUCUCCAGUUCUCCAGGACAAGAAAAUCAAGGAAUUGAAGAGGUGAAGCUAUCCUGCUUUCUUUUAACUCCAUCAUCAUCCCCCACCCCCAGGAAGAGCUCACCCCCAAGAAACCUAUCAGCAAGGAGAUUUCAUCAUGUUUGAUGCUCACACCUCAUCGGAAUCCUUGGUUGCCUCUGCUCCUCUGAAUGAAAAGGAUAGGACCUGCCAGACCUUGGAUUCCUUUGGUGAAGCCUUUGAUAACCUAGAGGUAUCCCUAGGUCAAGAUGAAGCACCAUGAGGCAACAGUAUCAAGCUCAAGUAGAAAUAGGAUCUGCUAAUCUGUACUUAAGGAUGGAGGGGACACAUUGAAAACCAAUAGUUCCAGGUGCACUUGUAAACAUUGAGGACUGCCUACUUGAUACCUCUGAUUUAGAAUCUUCCCUUCUGCAAGGGUCUGUUCUUCUGUGGAAAUGAAAUCAAGCUGUGUGAACCGCGGGAAGAUAUCUUUGUACAGCAUGCACCACAUGGCUCCAAAACCCUGGCUUGCUGAUUGUUUCCUUAGGGCAGGGAAUGAUGGUGAAGAAAGCAAUUGGGAAUGCUCCCAGGGCAUUUCAACUGUAGCUACUAAAAGAAGAACAAAACCAAAA